rnacentral:rRNA from 1 species
AUGGAGGCUUACAUGAUGUUCCCGCGGAGCAAUGGAAAGAGCUGCGAGGAGGAGCAGGAGGAGGACAUCGGCUGCCCGUCCGAGUCCGAGGUUUCGGCGGCGGGCUCCAUGCUGUCGUCGGACGAGGAGCUCGACGACGACGCCACCUCCAGCUCCAGCUCGUCCGGAUCCACCGACAACUUCCAGAUGUCCUCCCUCAUGGCGCAGCUCCCGCUCAAGAGGGGUCUGUCCAAGUUCUUCGACGGCAAGUCGCAGUCGUUCGCGUCGCUCGCGGCCGUUGGCGGCCUGGAGGACCUGGCCAAGCCGCCGGGCAAGCGGAUCAAGACGUCGCGGAGCUGCGAGGUCGGGUUGCAGGACGCGCACCGCCGGCGGUUCGCGCGCCACAAUGCCGCGGCCUUCAAGAAGGUGUCCAAAGGGCGGCUGUCCGCGCUCGGCAGGGCGCCGGCGCUCCGGCCGCUGACGGCGAGCGCGGCGAGGCCCAAGGGCUUGCCCGUGCGGGCUCCGCUCUUCGUUUAG